rnacentral:rRNA from 1 species
AACGUAGGACGCAAGCGUUAUCCGGAGUUACUGGGCGUAAAGCGCGGGCAGGCGGCUCUGUAAGUCUGAUGUGAAAGCGCCCGGCUCAACCGGGCGAGGCCAUUGGAAACUGGAGAGCUGGAGGGCAGUAGAGGCAGGCGGAAUUCCGGGUGGAGUGGUGAAAUGCGUAGAGAUCCGGAGGAACACCAGAGGCGAAGGCGGCCUGCUGGGCUGCACCUGACGCUGAACCGCGAAAGCCAGGGGAGCGAACGGG